ensembl:lncRNA
CCGCCCCUCGACUCGGGAGACUGUAAAAGUUUGUCUCAGCUCCAGCAUCCCGAGCCUCAACACGCCCUCAGGUAAAGCCCCUCCAGCUCGAAUAAUGAAGAGACAGUCAAUGCAAUCUGCAAGCGGCGGCCCAUUGUACGCAGCUGAUGGAAAGAAGGCAACCGGGGCCGGCGAGGGCUCCUUGCCCUCUCUCCUCUCCUCAAAUAAACGCGCUCAUGUCUCCUGAUCAGUUAAAAGGUGAAAUGAACACGAUUAAAAGACAAAAAGAGAGACAGAGAUAGAGAGAUAGAGAGAGAGAGGGAGAGAAGAAAAGAAGGAAGAAAAAGAACAAGCUUUCUACAUAUAAAUUCUAAAUUUUAUUCCUCAUGUAGUACAAAGGCAGGCAGUCGAGGGCAGAGAAAGCAGGCAGGGAGAGGGAGACAGGGAGAAGCAAAGAGAACGUGGAGAGAUACGGAGCGAGUGGAAGAGGAAGGAGGAAGGAGAGCAAGCUCCAGGGAACUGGAGGCGCCCUGGACGCCCAGCCCUCCGGCCCAGCCGCCCUCGGACUCUGGACCGCGAGUCGUGGGCACCAGAAGCGAGACUCGGCCAAGUCCUGCCCUACCAGAGAGACCACAGAACAGAAAUAACCCUGUUUUAUCAAGCCCAUCUGGAGAGAUGAACAUGCCUGCAAUCGUUGGGAGAAAGACAGGGAUUGAGAAACGGAAAUUUCACCACCCUCCAGCCAAACUUUCGAGGACUGAUUGCAGAGGAACUGGUGCUCCAGAUGUUGCACUAGAGGCGCUGCAAGUGUGAGCAGAUGGCAGUAGACCUACCUCACAAGUGGGAGCAGAUAUUCUCAAUGUUUCUAUUGAAAUAUCUUUAUUUCCAUUUGCAAGAGGAGCUCUGGAGCCUCAUUCUUGUGGUAGCUACCAAGUUCUGAUAUAAGCUGUUUUCAUCAGGGAACUUUGGCAAGAGAAUGGCUGGAUCAGCAAGUCCAUCUCCAUCAUGGAACAACAACUUGAAGCUCAUCUCUGUUGAUGGUGAGUCAAUGUCAUCUUCAGACAGGAACAAUCAUGCUAGUGUUAUUUUAUGUUUUCAGUGUUGUUAAACAACAGUUUGGUUUAAAUUUUGUUUUAUGAGACAUUAUUAGGAUUUUGAGCCAUAAUAUUUCAUUACUUGAGUCUAAAGGAUUGCAUAAAAAUCAACCUAAUAGUAAAAAGGAAAGGGAAUAAUAAUUUAGUGUUUAUGAAUAUACCUAAAAGUAGUUUGAUUAGCUUUUGUCAUCUCUGUUCUUAUUUUUAUAUAGCACAUGCUGGCUAACUUAUUCAUGACUUUUGUUUAAAUAAAUAUUGGCCAGCACAGAAUCACACAUACAUGAUUAUUUUAAAAUGUAUUACUGAUUUCAGGAAAUUUCAGGAUAACUGUAGUGUAAUUGUGAUGAUUCCCUUCCAUUUUCAAAUACAUAGAUUAUUUGGUCUUUCAUCUGGUAGCCAUUGUUAAUGCUUACUGCUGCUUGUUAUCCCAGAGAUACAGUGGAUGACAACAUAUAUACAUAUAUACAUUUAAUAUUAUUACAAGAGUUAUUAAUAUUAAUAUUAAGAUUGAACUCUUCCUCCCUAUGCUCUGUAAGUAAUUAAGUAUAACUUGAUGCAUUCUUCAAAAUCUCUUUACUCAAAAACAUUAUUUUUAGAUGAUUUGUCUCAUUAAUAUUAUUAUUUUCACAUUAAGCCUACAUCAAAUAUUUUUAGUUGGACUAGACUUUGGAAAUUUCUUCAGUAUUGUAAUGCAAGUCAAACAGAAUUAUUUAGUGUAUAAACUUGAGUAUCAGGAGUUCCCGUUGUGGCACAGUGGAAACAAAUCCGACUAGGAACCUUGAGGUUGCGGGUUCAAUCCCUGGUCUCGCUCAGUGGGUUAAGGAUCUGGUGUUGCCGUGAGCUGUGGUGUAGGUUGCAGACGCAGCUUGGAUCCUGCGUUACUGUGGCUUGGGUAUAGGCUGGCAGUUGUAGCUCCGAUUUGACCCCUAGCCUGGAAACCUUCAUAUGCCAUGGAUGCAGCCAUAAAAAGCCAAAAAAAAACCCCAACCCCCCCCCAAAACAAACAAACAAAAACCCCCAUGAGUGUCAUAACUAGGAUAAUUUCUGUUCUAUCUAUUAUGAUAAGACACCAUUUCUUGAAUAAUUAAUAUUUGCUCAGCCCUAUGCUAAGUGCUUUCUAUAUCUUAUUGUAUCUUUACAACAUUAUUAUAGGGCAGAAAUAAUUAUCCCAGGUUUAUAGAUAAGGAAACUAAGACUCAAAGAGUUCAGUAAUUUAUAUAAGUUCAGUAAUUUGGAAUCCAACCUUGGACUACCUGACCUCAGACCUUCUGGGCAAAGCUCCAGUUUAUAAAUGUGGUGUUAAGCUGCAUGAAGCUUUUAUAUAUGUAACUUAAGACUGGGCUGCUUUACUUUUGAAGCAUAGUCUGACUAGUUCACAGUGAUUUUAUACUACUGAUUGAGGUGUACCAUGAUGUGUCUGUGUAUAACAUUUACUUUUGUGAGUUUACGGGGACAUAACUUUUGACAGGCUGUCUACAUAUUAUAUGUACUUGAUGUUGUUUGUGUAUACAAAUGCAUCUAUGAAUUCUUCAAGUAGAAUCUUGAUGAUGCUUCCUUGGUAAACUUGGUGUAUCUUUAGUGUCUGCCCUACUCUUCAGGUAGUAGAAUUGCUGCUCAAUUUUGCUAGAGGCUGAGACCCUUGUUUUGGGAGAACAUUUACCCAUUAUUAUAAGACAGGUUGGCCAAAAUGGUGAUGUUAAUUUUUCGUCAGAUACAUAAUGAAAUAUGAAAUGUUAGUUUGACCAUUGUUGAACAAAGCCAAGUGUGUACAUUGUUUAGAUAUUAUGGAAACCUAUGGUCCUGUGAUUUUUCAAAGGUUUCUGUUGUUUAUAAGAUAUAUAUCGUGCUCUCUUUAGAGGACAUACAGGAUUUUUGUUAUUGGGCCAUUGCAUACUGCUUCAGGAAUAUCUCUGAUAGCCUUCUCCCUUACCACCCAACCUCAUAUAUACUCCAUACAUGUUAACCUCAGUUAAACUGAAUAGUCACCCUACCAUGACUAGGGUGACUAGUUGGCAUUGUGAUCUUCCCUCCUUCCUCCAUGAUGAAUACCAAAUUUUCAUUUAAGAUUCAACUUUGUGGAGUUCCUAUUGGAGCUCAGUGGGUUAAGAACCUGACAUAGGUCCAUGAGGAUACGAGUUCAAUCCCUGCCCUCACUCAGUGGGUUAAGGAUCCAGCAUUGCUGCAAACUGUGGUGUAGGUCACAUAUAUGGCUUGUAUCCUGUAUUGCUGUGGCAUAGCCCUCAGCUGCAGCUCUGAUUUGACCCCUAGCCUGGGAACUUCCAUGUGCCCCAGGUGAGGCAGUAAAAGAAAAAAAAAAAAAAA